UACGUAGGAGGCAAGCGUUGUCCGGAAUUACUGGGUGUAAAGCGCGUGUAGGCGGCAGGCCAAGUCUGUGGUGAAAUCGCUCGGCUCAACUGGGCGGGGUCCAUGGAAACUGGUCAGCUGGAGGACGGUAGAGGUGAGUGGAAUUCCCGGUGUAGUGGUGAAAUGCGUAGAGAUCGGGAGGAACACCGGUGGCGAAGGCGGUUCUCUGGGCCUUACCUGACGCUGAGGAGCGAAAGCGUGGGGAGCGAACAGG
rnacentral:rRNA from 1 species